AAAGAAAAAUGAAAAAAUGUAAUAGAUUAGGUCUCUCUAAAAGUAGAGUUGUCUGCUUGGUUCCGUAGAUUUGAUCUAUUCAAAUCCUGGCUCGAGCCGAUAUACAAUUUUAAUGAUAAAAAUAAAGCAGGUAUGUGCACACCAAAGGGAGGGAGGGAGAGAUGAGUUCGCUUAAGCUUCAAAAACAACUCUCAGAGAGCAUUCUAUAGUGUGGAAAAUGAAAGGUUUGGCUCGAUGCAAAUGAAGUCAACGAGAUCUCCAUUGCCAAUCAACUUUGAUCGUUUUGUAAUAAUAAAUUUUAAGUCGAGGUAUGAUACUAUGAUUCGGACUUGAUUUCGCAUCGUUUGCUGCCAAAUUGUGAAAACGAAGCGAAAUGCUUUAAAUUUUUAGGAAUUUAAUAUGUGAUAACUGAUGUAGUUUACUUACAAGCUUUUUUUUUUCUUAGUGAUCUAUAACAGUAGUGUUAUAUAGUUUACUCAGAUAAGCUUUUGCAUAUAUACAA